UACGUAGGGUCCGAGCGUUGUCCGGAAUUACUGGGCGUAAAGAGCUCGUAGGUGGUUUGUCGCGUUGUUCGUGAAAACUCACAGCUCAACUGUGGGCGUGCGGGCGAUACGGGCAGACUUGAGUACUGCAGGGGAGACUGGAAUUCCUGGUGUAGCGGUGGAAUGCGCAGAUAUCAGGAGGAACACCGGUGGCGAAGGCGGGUCGCUGGGCAUUUCCUGACGCUGAGGCGCGAAAGCGUGGGGAGCAAACGGG
rnacentral:rRNA from 1 species